rnacentral:rRNA from 1 species
GGGAACUGAAACAUCUAAGUACCCAGAGGAAAGGAAAGCAAUAUGCGACUCCGUAAGUAGCGGCGAGCGAAAGCGGAUAGGUGUGAGCCUGUGAACACGCUGGAAUGCGUGACCGAAGACGGUGAAAGUCCGGUAGCAGGAGGUAGCACCAUAGCUCUAGAGUAGGCUCGGGCUCGUGGAACCCGGGUUGAAUAUGGGAGGUCCACCUUCCAAGGCUAAGUACUCCUUGACGACCGAUAGCGAAGAAGUAAAGUGAUUGAAAGUUUAAAAGCACUCCUAUUAGGAGGGUGAAAUAGUACCUGAAACCG